GAUGAACGCUGGCGGCGUGCCUAAUACAUGCAAGUCGAGCGAACGGACGAGAAGCUUGCUUCUCUGAUGUUAGCGGCGGACGGGUGAGUAACACGUGGAUAACCUACCUAUAAGACUGGGAUAAUUUCGGGAAACCGGAGCUAAUACCGGAUAAUAUUUUGAACCGCAUGGUUCAAAAGUGAAAGACGGUCUUGCUGUCACUUAUAGAUGGAUCCGCGCUGCAUUAGCUAGUUGGUAAGGUAACGGCUUACCAAGGCAACGAUGCAUAGCCGACCUGAGAGGGUGAUCGGCCACACUGGAACUGAGACACGGUCAGACUCCUACGGGAGGCAGCAGUAGGGAAUCUUCCGCAAUGGGCGAAAGCCUGACGGAGCAACGCCGCGUGAGUGAUGAAGGUCUUCGGAUCGUAAAACUCUGUUAUUAGGGAAGAACAUAUGUGUAAGUAACUGUGCACAUCUUGACGGUACCUAAUCAGAAAGCCACGGCUAACUACGUG
rnacentral:rRNA from 1 species